AUGUUCUCUGCAUCUCUUCUGCUGUGUCUGGCAGCUGCAUCCUAUGUUCACUGUGUUGAACUCACCCAGCCAGGUUCUAUGGUUGUAAAGCCAGGACAGUCUCUGACCAUCUCCUGUAAAGUCUCUGGGUACUCAGUCACUGAUAGCAGCUAUGGUACAAACUGGAUACGACAGCCGGCAGGGAAAGCACUGGAGUGGAUUGGGUAUAUGUGGGGUGAUGGGAGCAUUUAUUACAAAGAUUCUCUUAAAAACAAGUUCAGCAUCUCCAGAGACACCUCCAGCAGCACAGUGUCUUUGCAAGGAAGCAGCUUGCAGACUGAAGACACAGCUGUUUAUUACUGUGCCCGACAGCCACAGUGA